ACUUGAUGCCUUCACAAAUAAAACUAAACAGUACACUGAUCUUGACUAAAAUCUGCGACAAGAUUUCAGCUAGAACUACCAAAGUCCAUUAGAAACCAUCGCCAAGGCAUAGCUGUGCAUGGUUUAGAUACAACAAGUAAUCGAGAACAAAGAGUAAAAGGAGAUCUAGUUGUGGUUAGCCAGUACAUAUAGUGUAAGUAAAUUAUUGCUUAGAUAAGGGAUUAUUUCAGUACCCUGUGCUGGAUGUUCUCUUAAAAUAAGUAACAAUCAGCAGAAUUCACCUGGAUGACAGUCUUUGAACCUAUGAAAGCUUCAAUUUUCUUCCAAUCACGAUCAAAGCUUUGAAGAGCUUCGAGAAACUUAUCGUGCUCCGGCUCGGUCCAGCUCUCUCUGGACUUAGUAAUGGUGUAGGGUUUCCUGAUCUUCUUCGAAGCGUCAUCGGCCGAUGAGGACGACGAGUUUGUUGACGGCGGUGCCACGGCGGCGGUAGGAGUGGAUAACGGACCAAUGUUAGGUAGAGUCAUGCCCAUUGGUUGCCGGUGAGUAGCUCCGGUGAGCGUGUGUGUGUGUGAACGAUGAUGAGGAAGGUGAAGAAAUGAUGUGGCUAUGGUUGCUACCCUACCGUUGUGACCUGCACAUCAUCACAGAUAGUUAUAGC
rnacentral:lncRNA from 1 species